GUUUACAGCAGAAAACUCGUUCCCGGCUAACGUUAUAUCUGUAACGGUACGUUAAUUGUGUAAAACGUGAGACACGCUAACGCUAACUUAACGUUACCGAGCAUUAUAUGUUCCCCUGCAGGAUUUAGAUUGACACGUUGACAAUCUCCUACCUCGCUCUUGCAUCGGGCGUACGACUCAUCUUUACAGAAAGGCAGCUAAUAAAAUGUAACGUUGUUCAGUGUCCAGCCACCUAAGUUAAUCGGCACCCAGAUUUAUCGCUAGCUAACUUCUUCUCUCCCAGGCUAGCACGCCAGUCUGCCGUUUCCAUGGAGUCCCCGGCGUUUCCGCUUGAGGAAUGCAUUAUGGGAGACUGAGUUGUUGAUUGACUAUUUUUUUUCUCCUCUCCGUUUUCCUUUUUGAAGUUGUUACUACAACGAAACAACGAGCCAGCUCUGAGCAGUUUUUUUUUCUUCAGAAAGUUGAAGAUGGCGGCAGAGCUACCAUGUAGCCUAAUGGACUGUCCAAACCAUCAGAAGCAAUUAGGGUUCAGCAUCUUGCCCAAUGGUAAUAGGAGCUGGAGAUCGAACCACCAACCCAUUAUUGCCUGCUGUACCCGCUGAGCCACAGGAGCUGGAGUAGAAAAUGUCACCAGAUCAAAUUAGUGGGAGCCUGCAACACUGCCUGUCUGCCUCUGUCUGUCUAUUCCACGGAGUGAUAGCGUCACUCAUGGAAGUUUCCAGAAGUUUAUUUGUGUCCAAACUUCCCCAGGUGUACAAGGUCAGUAUCAGCUGUCUACAGGGAACAUCACUCCCUCAUACCCAGACCACAACAAAAGGACAAACACAGACACACUAAGGACAGAAGGCAGGGGAGACGUUCUCUCUGCAGUCUGCCUCUUUAUUUCUCAUUCAACUU